CUGCGAGUGAAGCGGGAAAAGCUCAAAUUUAAAAUCUGGCAGCCUUUGGUUGUCCGAGUUGUAAUCUAGAGAAGUGUUAUCCGCGCUGGACUGUGUACAAGUCUCCUGGAAUGGAGCGUCAUAGAGGGUGAGAAUCCCGUCUUUGACACAGACUGCCAGGGCUUUGUGAUGCGCUCUCAAAGAGUCGAGUUGUUUGGGAAUGCAGCUCAAAAUGGGUGGUAAAUUCCAUCUAAAGCUAAAUAUUGGCGAGAGACCGAUAGCGAACAAGUACCGUGAGGGAAAGAUGAAAAGAACUUUGGAAAGAGAGUUAAACAGUACGUGAAAUUGCUGAAAGGGAAACGCUUGAAGUCAGUCGCGUUGUCCAGGGAUCAACCUUGCUUUUGCUUGGUGCACUUUCUGGUUGACGGGUCAGCAUCAAUUUUGACUAUUGGAAAAAGAUUAGGGGAAUGUGGCAUCUUUGGAUGUGUUAUAGCCCUUAGUUGCAUACAAUGGUUGGGAUUGAGGAACUCAGCACGCCGCAAGGCCGGGUUUUUAACCACGUACGUGCUUAGGAUGCUGGCAUAAUGGCUUUAAUCGACCCGUCUUGAAACACGGACCAAGGAGUCUAACAUGCCUGCGAGUGUUUGGGUGGAAAACUCGAGCGCGUAAUGAAAGUGAAAGUUGAGAUCCCUGUCGUGGGGAGCAUCGACGCCCGGACCAGACCUUUUGUGACGGUUCCGCGGUAGAGCAUGUAUGUUGGGACCCGAAAGAUGGUGAACUAUGCCUGAAUAGGGUGAAGCCAGAGGAAACUCUGGUGGAGGCUCGUAGCGAUUCUGACGUGCAAAUCGAUCGUCAAAUUUGGGUAUAGGGGCGAAAGACUAAUCGAACCAUCUAGUAG
rnacentral:rRNA from 1 species